UUACACCAGCACGUCGAACGAUGACGGUGGUGCUUGCACCGCCUGAUUAGUGGCGAACGGGUGAGUAACACGUGAGUAACCUGCCCUCCACUUCGGAAUAACCUCGGGAAAUCGUGGCUAAUACCGGAUACGAGCACUCAUCGCAUGGUGGGUGUUGGAAAGAUUUAUCGGUGGGGGAUGGACUCGCGGCCUAUCAGUUUGUUGGUGAGGUGAUGGCUCACCAAGACGAUGACGGGUAGCCGGCCUGAGAGGGCGACCGGCCACACUGGGACUGAGACACGGCCCAGACUCCUACGGGAGGCAGCAGUGGGGAAUAUUGCACAAUGGGCGAAAGCCUGAUGCAGCGACGCCGCGUGGGGGAUGACGGCCUUCGGGUUGUAAACCCCUUUCAGUAGGGAAGAAGCGAGAGUGACGGUACCUGCAGAAGAAGCGCCGGCUAACUACGUGCCAGCAGCCGCGGUAAUACGUAGGGCGCAAGCGUUGUCCGGAAUUAUUGGGCGUAAAGAGCUUGUAGGUGGCUUGUCGCGUCUGCCGUGAAAACCCGAGGCUCAACCUCGGGCGUGCGGUGGGUACGGGCAGGCUAGAGUGUGGUAGGGGAGACUGGAACUCCUGGUGUAGCGGUGAAAUGCGCAGAUAUCAGGAAGAACACCGAUGGCGAAGGCAGGUCUCUGGGCCAUUACUGACACUGAGAAGCGAAAGCAUGGGUAGCGAACAGGAUUAGAUACCCUGGUAGUCCAUGCCGUAAACGUUGGGCACUAGGUGUGGGGGACAUUCCACGUUUUCCGCGCCGUAGCUAACGC
rnacentral:rRNA from 1 species